AGAAAAUGAAUAGGUGGCUGAGUUUAGUGGGGCUUUUCUUCGUCACUACCGCUGGAUGCAUCAUCUUUUUCUGUCCCGGUGGGACGGCGUCGUUCGUGCCGAUUUUCCAAUGGAAUAGCAACAACAAAGCGGCUGCCGGAAGAAAAGCUGAGGAAACGAAAACUAUUGAGCCGUCAUCGUCUUCCAUCCAAUUACUCCACCAAAGAAAUGAAUUCCGGGAUAUGGAAAAAGGGAGAACUCCGGCGUGGGUAGGAUCAGACGGAUUAAUGCGCGUCCCAUCGACUUUGCCUUACUGGCCCGCAUCCGAUACGGCCACAAGCUCGCGAGCAUUAUCAGACUACAGUGACAACAGGCCUUGUGGCAUUGUUGUCCUUCCCGGAAUCUCCUCUCCCUUGCAGGCGGAUGUCGCCCAAGAACAGGACGUGGCAUCAGGUCCAAUGAAACCCGAUGAAGUGAACGUGGUCGAUUCGUUGGCAUGUCGAUCACGACAACGUCCGUCUUCCUCGCGACAGCGAAACGAGCAACGGUGGCCAAUGGCCUACGAUCAUUCAACUGACUUGAACCCUCCUGUUGACGGCAUUGACAGCUUUUCCGAGUUUCUGUCGCCCUCCAUCACCCACGAGGAUGGCUCUGACGUCUUCUCGUACGAUUUUUACGACACGUCCAACUCGUAUCCGACCGAGUUCGACGCUGCCAGUGUUGAUUUGCCAUCCGGUUGCCACGUUGAAAGCGACCCGCCUGGCUAUCUCAUUUGCAACGACACAUCCAUGACCAGAGUCCCCGUCGAUUUACCGCGCCUAAUUUCGCUCUCCGUUUUCGAGCUGAACAACACGAGUGUCCAAGUCCUGGCCAAAGGCGAUUUUUAUCAGAUGGACCUUGUCGACAUGAAUUUGUGUUCGAAUCCUCAACUCGACGUCAUCGAGAGGGGAGCCUUCGACAACGUUACGAGCCUCCUCACUCUGUCUGUCAAGCACAAUUCGAUCCAGUCGCUGGAUUGGCAGGUGUUUGACGGAUUGGACACGUUGGUCGUCUUGUCCCUACGAGACAAUCAGAUUGACUUGACGCAAAUGUUCCAGGACCCGCCGGAUGAGGAGGACGCGAUUGUCUUGCCGAAUCUGAUUCAUCUGGAUUUGUCGGAGAAUCCGCUCGGCGCGCUCAACCGAUACGUCUUUUGGCAGCUAGGGCAGUCGCCCAUCGAAGAGCUUAAUCUCAAGUCGUGCGACCUCAGUUCCAUUGAUCCAGACGCCUUUGAGCCGCUGACUUCCCUGUUGCACGUCGAUUUCUACAACAAUCCGAAAUUGAGCUCGAUUUUCGCGCACGAGACGAGGACGCCGAUUCUACCUCCGAGCCUCAUUCAGUUGGGACUUGGCUACAAUCAUCUCGUCCAGAAGGUCCCUGUGCCUUUGCUGCAGAACGUGUCCACGACGCUGAAGACGAUCAACUUGUCUGGAAAUUUGUACUUUCUCUUAACUGGCAAUCUGUGGCCGGCAAUUUCGUUUCCGAAUUUGAGAUUUCUCAUUCUGGAAACGUGCAGCAUCUCGGUGGUGAAUGCGACGGCUUUCGAGAAUAUGCCUCAGCUGGCCUACCUCUACAUGGGCAAGAAUCAGCUGACGCAAGUGGCUCCAGGUACGUUUCCCUCUUCGCUGCAACUGUUGAGCGUCAGACAGAAUCCGAAGAUGAGCGGUUCUUUUGUCAUGUCCAAGGACAAUUUUGCCGAAAUGACGGAACUCGUUUGGCUCGAUAUGAAUUCAAUGAAACUCGAUGCCAAAAACUUUUCAUCGGAGGCCUUUAAGGGACUGAACAAGCUCGCGAUUCUGCAGAUGCGCGACUCUGGACUGACCGAAAUCCCUCCUCGCUUGUUCUCGCCUCUGACUCGACUCGCAAUGCUGGACUUGGGCAACAACCCAAUCACCACGUUGUCACACCAGUUCUCCCUCGGCCUCGAAAAUACCCAGCUACUUCUGCUGGACAAUUGUUUCUUGGAUUUUCCCGCAGAGGUCGACUACGCUUACCAACCAUUUCGUGGAAUGCAUCACUUGGCGAUGCUUUACCUGACUAAAAAUAGCAUCAACCAAUUCACGCCGAAUCUAGUGGACAACCUCACGCAACUCUAUUUACUCCACCUGAGCGGCAAUCAGCUACACACCUGGGAAUACGGGACGACGGCUUACAUGCCCAGUAGCGCCGCCAUCGCCAUCUCCGACAACAAAAUUCAGUUUUUACCCAAUCAGACGUUCGAAGAGUUUUCAAGGAUUGCUGCCAUUGACUUGAGCGAUAACGCUCUAAUCUGCAACUGUCAGACUCUCGCUUUGCAGCAGCUGGCGAAUUCGUCCAACACGACAGUUCUGAAGUGGGAGGUUGAGGGCGCCUACACUUGCACCGACACAUCCGCCGAGCCAUUCGUUUUGAAGGCAAUUCCUCUGAUGACUGAAGAAGAGUUCCAGUGCCGCAGUGAACCGGUUACCACUCCCCAGCCGAGCAACGACAAAGAAACGGCGACCGUCGUGUCGUCAGUCGUCGGUGCCAUCAUAAUCGUCAUCACUUUGGUGGCCAUCAUGACAAGCUGCUAUUGCAAGCGCAAUCAGGGACAGGGCAAAUGGUUUCAUUUGCGACAACAACUGCAGUUCUUCGGUGGCUCUUCCAGCAGCGAAAUGGUUGUCGAAAACGACAGUGAAUUUGAGUACGACGCUUUUAUUUCGUUCAAUGAACAGGAUCGACCCUGGGUCUACACUCAUUUGGUCCCACAAUUGGAGCCACCCAAAGAGUCACAGUCAGACGCUACGGAUCCAGCAGAUGACGCCUUCAAACCCUUUCGCCUGUGCCUGCACGACCGAGAUUUCACCGUUGGCCAACGCAUCACUGAAAAUAUCAUAGAGAAUAUCGCCAAAAGUCGCAAGGUGGUGAUCGUUCUGUCUCGCGGCUACGUUGAAAGCAAGUGGUGUCAGUUCGAGCUAGAUUUAUCACACCAUCGUUUGCUUGAAUCGGAGCGUCGCAAUGCUCUUGUCCUCAUCCUCUUGGAAGAUGUGCCGAAACAGCAGCAGAAUGCCGGCCUCCGUUAUUUGAUGAGUACGAGGACUUACCUCGAAUGGCGGAGUGAUCCUGAAGGUCAAAAACUGUUUUGGCAGCGAUUACGCCAAGUGUUGACAGUUCCGCACCCCACUUCAGAGCCCAUCCUUAAUGUGCACGCAAGUACCUGAUUUCGGCAGUUACUUGUUCAUUUCUCUCGUUCUUGCUCGCCCAUCCUGGUACGAUGGUCGGUACGCACAUGCGGCUGAAAACCUAAAAGUGCAGUAAUCAUCUGCAAUUUACUCAUUGAAUCCUCUUUGAUAGUCAGUUACCAACAACCACUUGAUCUUGGUUAUAGAUCACAGUGUCUGAAACAAAAUGAUCGAUAAUUGAACAUCCAGUCCCUGAUCAUCCAUACAUAAAUUUGUACAGUCAUAUUAUCAAAUUCGUGUUCUCAUCAUAGUUCAGCUGCCUUCCCUUUCCGGUUACAAUGAAGAAAAAUCGUUUGAGUCGAAAAUAUUAAAAGAACUUACUGGAAUUUGUCACAAGAAUGGAGAGGUUUGCAGAAAAAGACUUACAUUCCAGAAACAACUCUACGUUACAAUUUUGAUUGUCCAUGUGAUGAAGAAAAUCGCUUUGUUGUCUUUUCAUAAACUCUGUAGUAGACAUGUUGGUGUAAGAUGCACAAUUCAAGUUCGAGCCCAAGAUCACCAAGGGUAACAAAAAUGAAUAAAAAUUCAAAAGCAAAAAGAAAA